rnacentral:rRNA from 1 species
GACGAACGCUGGCGGCGUGCUUAACACAUGCAAGUCGAACGGAAAGGCCCUGCUUUUGUGGGGUGCUCGAGUGGCGAACGGGUGAGUAACACGUGAGUAACCUGCCCUUGACUUUGGGAUAACUUCAGGAAACUGGGGCUAAUACCGGAUAGGAGCUCCUGCUGCAUGGUGGGGGUGGGAAAGUUUCGGCGGUUGGGGAUGGACUGGCGGCUUAUCAGCUUGUUGGUGGGGUAGUGGCUUACCAAGGCUUUGACGGGUAGCCGGCCUGUGAGGGUGACCGGGCACCAUGGGACUGCGGGAGGGACCAGUGUCCUACGGGAGGCAGCAGGGGGGAAUAUUGUCCAAUGGGACGAAGUCUGAUGCAGCAACGCCGCGUGCGGGAUGACGGCCUUCGGGUUGUAAACCGCUUUCGCCUGUGACGAAGCGUGAGUGACGGUAAUGGGUAAAGAAGCACCGGCUAACUACGUG